rnacentral:misc_RNA from 1 species
UGGGUUUGACAUAUACCGGAAAGCCGUAGAGAUACGGCCCCCCUUGUGGUCGGGUGACAGGUGGUGCAUGGCUGUCGUCAGCUCGUGUCGUGAGAUGUUGGGUUAAGUCCCGCAACGAGCGCAACCCUUGUUCUGUGUUGCCAGCAUGCCCUUCGGGGUGAUGGGGACUCACAGGAGACCGCCGGGGUCAACUCGGAGGAAGGUGGGGAUGACGUAGCUAAGCCUUC